rnacentral:lncRNA from 1 species
CGAGAUCGACAAAGAAGGAGGCACAGACACGAGUGUAGAAAAAGAAUCCAGGGGUGCUUCAUAAAAAUUGAGCCUAGGCUUUCACUACCAAAUCCGAUGAUAAAAAGCUGCUCAACAGAGUCAUGAGAAGCAAUGGGGCAACAUCGUCAUCAGGAAUUACAACCGGAGACUCAACAACUUCAAUAAGAGGAAUAGAACGGCGGGGGAUGCUUCUGCUUCAUCAUCAGAAAUGAUGCUUCUACGAGCCUGUGG